rnacentral:rRNA from 1 species
UAACGCGAAGAACCUUACCAAGGCUUGACAUGGACCGGAUCGCCGCAGAAAUGUGGUUUCCCCUUUGGGGCCGGUUCACAGGUGGUGCAUGGUUGUCGUCAGCUCGUGUCGUGAGAUGUUGGGUUAAGUCCCGCAACGAGCGCAACCCUCGUUCCAUGUUGCCAGCGCGUAAUGGCGGGGACUCAUGGGAGACUGCCGGGGUCAACUCGGAGGAAGGUGGGGACGACGUCAAAUCAUCAUGCCCCUUAUGUCUUGGGCUUCACGCAUGCUACAAUGGCCGGUACAAAGGGUUGCGAUACUGUGAGGUGGAGCUAAUCCCAAAAAGCCGGUCUCAGUUCGGAUUGGGGUCUGCAACUCGACCCCAUGAAGUCGGAGUCGCUAGUAAUCGCAGAUCAGCAACGCUGCGGUGAAUACGUUCCCGGGUCUUGUACACACCGA